rnacentral:rRNA from 1 species
UACGUAGGGUGCGAGCGUUGUCCGGAAUUAUUGGGCGUAAAGGGCUCGUAGGCGGUUUGUCGCGUCGGGAGUGAAAACUCAGGGCUUAACCCUGAGCCUGCUUCCGAUACGGGCAGACUAGAGGUAUGCAGGGGAGAGCGGAAUUCCUGGUGUAGCGGUGAAAUGCGCAGAUAUCAGGAGGAACACCGGUGGCGAAGGCGGUUCUCUGGGCAUGUUCUGACGCUGAGGAGCGAAAGUGUGGGGAGCGAACAGG